AAACGAUUUAAUUAACCGAUCAAAUUGUUGUCUUGCAAAUAUCGAAGUCCUUAGGAAACCUCUCAAAUCUUUUUAGUAAAGAUUUUGAAAGGAAACGAGCCAUAAUGUGUAAUGAUAGGCGAGUUGCUCAAGAACCGAACUACAACGAAUAAAUCAGUUUCACCCGAAAUUAGAACUCUUCAAGGAAUCUGACUCGCAGGAGCAGCUCCUUUGAAGGAGCCAUGUUACUCAGAGUAUACGGAUGGUCGCGGAGAGACCGGAGGUUUCUUCAUCGGACUUCAAAAAUGUAUUCUGAUUUUAAUUGGCAUUAACAAAUAAAUUAUAUAAGAACAAACAUCUGAGGGUAAAAUCACCAGAAAAAACAGCCUUUCACGUGGACAUUAGCAGUUGAAUGUUUUUUUUAUUAUUUAAAUUUCGAUUUAAAUUGUAGUUUUAAUACUUGAUACAUAAUUGAUUUUUGAACAGCUCUCCACUUUUUAGUAUGCCUUGUUACUUUUCAAAAUUCUUUACUGAACAGUUUUGUUAGUUAUUAGUAUAGUACAUCCGAUAAUUACAGAACACCAACAGGACUUUUAAUAGACUAAUUUACAUAUUUGGUUGUAUUAUCUGAGUUUCUAGAUUCUUAAGUUUUGGAUCUUUCUUUGUUUUGUAAUUUCAAAUGAUCUAUUCUGCAAGUCCGAAUACCUAAUCUGAGCUCCCAAAUGUUUAUAAUGUACUUUUUUUUGAUACUGAGAGGUUUUGACCUCUCGGCCAUUUUGAUGUCUUUCAUCUAACAGAGCCCCUGAUCAGGGGUUUUACGAUUGGAUAACAGACAGCUGCGCAUUCGUCUUUCAUCUCGUUUUGUAAGGCAGCAGGAUUCUUGGACGGAGCCGAAAGAUUCAGAAAUCUAAUAAACGAAGACCACCGAAAGAAUUAUUUCUUACAUAUUGCGUUUAAAUGAAACUUUUGUGUUCAAGAACCACUAGAAGAAUGUUAACUGAUGCUUCAAAAAAACUUAAGAUCCGCCUCAAAGUGGAUUAGAACUUUAAUUUUAGUAAUUUACAUUCCAAAAUGUAGGAAAUCAUUUAUAAUUUGUAUAUCAUUGCAGAGCAUAUUUUGUAAUCCUAGUAAAAGUAAAUUAUUACAAUAUUUUAAGGAUUUUAAAGAUGGUACAAUAUGCUCAACAACUUAACAUUUAAAUCAAAUUUUCCGCCAAUUUAAACUGUAUUUGGAACUGGUUCAUCGGGCUUGGAACCAAAAUGCAAUGAGUUUGAAACUUUGAAAAAUGUUUCAGUAUGAGGACUUAAAUAAGUUAAAUAUGAAAAAAAAAGUUAAUUUCAAAGAAUUUUUUAGCAUUUUGUGCUUGUAAAAAGUAAAUGUUUUUAUGUACUUAGGUAUGUUAAGGUGGAUAUUGUUAAAAAUAUAUUCUGGCAUUUAAUUAUAAAAAGCAAUCAAAUGGAA